UACGUAGGGUGCAAGCGUUGUCCGGAAUUAUUGGGCGUAAAGGGUGCGUAGGCGGCGCGGUAAGUCGGGUGUGAAAUCUUGGAGCUUAACUCCGAAACUGCAUUCGAUACUGCCGUGCUUGAGGACUGGAGAGGAGACUGGAAUUUACGGUGUAGCGGUGAAAUGCGUAGAUAAUCGUAAGGAAGACCAGUGGCGAAGGCGGGUCUCUGGACAGUUCCUGACGCUGAGGCACGAAGGCCAGGGGAGCAAACGGGG
rnacentral:rRNA from 1 species